rnacentral:piRNA from 1 species
UUGAUCACCACUAUUUAAUGUCAGGAUC